GAUGAACGCUGGCGGCGUGCCUAAUACAUGCAAGUCGAGCGAACGGACGAGAAGCUUGCUUCUCUGAUGUUAGCGGCGGACGGGUGAGUAACACGUGGAUAACCUACCUAUAAGACUGGGAUAACUUCGGGAAACCGGAGCUAAUACCGGAUAAUAUUUUGAACCGCAUGGUUCAAAAGUGAAAGACGGUCUUGCUGUCACUUAUAGAUGGAUCCGCGCUGCAUUAGCUAGUUGGUAAGGUAACGGCUUACCAAGGCAACGAUGCAUAGCCGACCUGAGAGGGUGAUCGGCCACACUGGAACUGAGACACGGUCCAGACUCCUACGGGAGGCAGCAGUAGGGAAUCUUCCGCAAUGGGCGAAAGCCUGACGGAGCAACGCCGCGUGAGUGAUGAAGGUCUUCGGAUCGUAAAACUCUGUUAUUAGGGAAGAACAUAUGUGUAAGUAACUGUGCACAUCUUGACGGUACCUAAUCAGAAAGCCACGGCUAACUACGUGCCAGCAGCCGCGGUAAUACGUAGGUGGCAAGCGUUAUCCGGAAUUAUUGGGCGUAAAGCGCGCGUAGGCGGUUUUUUAAGUCUGAUGUGAAAGCCCACGGCUCAACCGUGGAGGGUCAUUGGAAACUGGAAAACUUGAGUGCAGAAGAGGAAAGUGGAAUUCCAUGUGUAGCGGUGAAAUGCGCAGAGAUAUGGAGGAACACCAGUGGCGAAGGCGACUUUCUGGUCUGUAACUGACGCUGAUGUGCGAAAGCGUGGGGAUCAAACAGGAUUAGAUACCCUGGUAGUCCACGCCGUAAACGAUGAGUGCUAAGUGUUAGGGGGUUUCCGCCCCUUAGUGCUGCAGCUAACGCAUUAAGCACUCCGCCUGGGGAGUACGACCGCAAGGUUGAAACUCAAAGGAAUUGACGGGGACCCGCACAAGCGGUGGAGCAUGUGGUUUAAUUCGAAGCAACGCGAAGAACCUUACCAAAUCUUGACAUCCUUUGACAACUCUAGAGAUAGAGCCUUCCCCUUCGGGGGACAAAGUGACAGGUGGUGCAUGGUUGUCGUCAGCUCGUGUCGUGAGAUGUUGGGUUAAGUCCCGCAACGAGCGCAACCCUUAAGCUUAGUUGCCAUCAUUAAGUUGGGCACUCUAAGUUGACUGCCGGUGACAAACCGGAGGAAGGUGGGGAUGACGUCAAAUCAUCAUGCCCCUUAUGAUUUGGGCUACACACGUGCUACAAUGGACAAUACAAAGGGCAGCGAAACCGCGAGGUCAAGCAAAUCCCAUAAAGUUGUUCUCAGUUCGGAUUGUAGUCUGCAACUCGACUACAUGAAGCUGGAAUCGCUAGUAAUCGUAGAUCAGCAUGCUAUGGUGAAUACGUUCCCGGGUCU
rnacentral:rRNA from 1 species